CCUACGGGAGGCAGCAGUGGGGAAUAUUGCACAAUGGGGGAAACCCUGAUGCAGCAACGCCGCGUGAGUGAUGACGGCCUUCGGGUUGUAAAGCUCUAUCUUCAGGGACGAUAAUGACGGUACCUGAGUAGGAAGCCACGGCUAACUACGUGCCAACAGCCGCGGUAAUACGUAGGUGGCGAGCGUUGUCCGGAUUUACUGGGCGUAAAGGGAGCGUAGGCGGACAUUUCAGUGAGAUGUGAAAUACUCGGGCGCAACUUGGGUGCUGUAUUUCAAACUGGAAGUCUAGAGUGCAGGAGAGGAGAAUGGAAUUCCUAGUGUAGCGGUGAAAUGCGUAGAGAUUAGGAAGAACACCAGUGGCGAAGGCGACUCUCUGGACUGUAACUGACGCUGAGGCUCGAAAGCGUGGGGAGCAAACAGGAUUAGAUACCCCAGUAGUC
rnacentral:rRNA from 1 species